UCUCUCUGGUUGCAACAUCUGUUACCCCAUUGGGUGCCAGGGUUGAUUCGGCUGAUCUGACUGGCUAGACGGGUGUUCCCUUCCUCCCUCACUGCUCCAUGUGGUUCCCUCCUGAAGCUGUGUUCUCAGUCAAAGAGGAUGACCUUCCCCAUUGAAGAGAGGACCAAUCUUUGGUCAAGGUCAUAUGAUUAGCUGUGCCCCACUUCUAGAACCUCCAAAUAAGCUCCAGUUAAUUUUUUGAAAGUUCAUUUAAAAAACACAUUGCAUCUUGUUUCCCCAUUUAAUUGAUGCCCUUU
rfam:Pteropus alecto contig69193, whole genome shotgun sequence.